AGGGGUCGUAAACGUCAACAAACACUAGGGGCACAGGAUCGGCACCUAAACACAACAAACCACGUUCCAGCCAAUCACCAACAAGACGGUUGUGGGAUGGGGUGGGUGUUAGUGACAGUCACAAAUGCUGCAUUUCCAUUGCAUGGCACGGCACAGCUCUACUCAACUUGACUUACUCCUUUUUUGGUUUUCCAUCAGCUAAACUUGUGGAUAGUACC